rnacentral:rRNA from 1 species
GAUGAACGCUGGCGGCGUGCCUAAUACAUGCAAGUCGAGCGAACGGACGAGAAGCUUGCUUCUCUGAUGUUAGCGGCGGACGGGUGAGUAACACGUGGAUAACCUACCUAUAAGACUGGGAUAACUUCGGGAAACCGGAGCUAAUACCGGAUAAUAUUUUGAACCGCAUGGUUCAAAAGUGAAAGACGGUCUUGCUGUCACUUAUAGAUGGAUCCGCGCUGCAUUAGCUAGUUGGUAAGGUAACGGCUUACCAAGGCAACGAUGCAUAGCCGACCUGAGAGGGUGAUCGGCCACACUGGAACUGAGACACGGUCCAGACUCCUACGGGAGGCAGCAGUAGGGAAUCUUCCGCAAUGGGCGAAAGCCUGACGGAGCAACGCCGCGUGAGUGAUGAAGGUCUUCGGAUCGUAAAACUCUGUUAUUAGGGAAGAACAUAUGUGUAAGUAACUGUGCACAUCUUGACGGUACCUAAUCAGAAAGCCACGGCUAACUACGUGCCAGCAGCCGCGGUAAUACGUAGGUGGGCAGCGUUAUCCGGAAAUAUGGGGGUAAAGCGCGCGUAGGCGGUUUUUUAAGUCUGAUGUGAAAGCCCACGGCUCAACUGUGGAGGGUCAUUGGAAACUGGAAAACUUGAGUGCAGAAGAGGAAAGUGGAAUUCCAUGUGUAGCGGUGAAAUGCGCAGAGAUAUGGAGGAACACCAGUGGCGAAGGCGACUUUCUGGUCUGUAACUGACGCUGAUGAGCGAAAGCGUGGGGAUCAAACAGGAUUAGAUACCCUGGUAGUCCACGCCGUAAACGAUGAGUGCUAAGUGUUAGGGGGUUUCCGCCCCUUAGUGCUGCAGCUAACGCAUUAAGCACUCCGCCUGGGGAGUACGACCGCAAGGUUGAAACUCAAAGGAAUUGACGGGGACCCGCACGAGCGGUGGAGCAUGUGGUUUAAUUCGAAGCAACGCGAAGAACCUUACCAAAUCUUGACAUCCUUUGACAACUCUAGAGAUAGAGCCUUCCCCUUCGGGGGACAAAGUGACAGGUGGUGCAUGGUUGUCGUCAGCUCGUGUCGUGAGAUGUUGGGUUAAGUCCCGCAACGAGCGCAACCCUUAAGCUUAGUUGCCAUCAUUAAGUUGGGCACUCUAAGUUGACUGCCGGUGACAAACCGGAGGAAGGUGGGGAUGACGUCAAAUCAUCAUGCCCCUUAUGAUUUGGGCUACACACGUGCUACAAUGGACAAUACAAAGGGCAGCGAAACCGCGAGGUCAAGCAAAUCCCAUAAAGUUGUUCUCAGUUCGGAUUGUAGUCUGCAACUCGACUACAUGAAGCUGGAAUCGCUAGUAAUCGUAGAUCAGCAUGCUACGGUGAAUACGUUCCCGGGUCU